rnacentral:rRNA from 1 species
GAUGAACGCUGGCGGCGUGCUUAACACAUGCAAGUCGAACGGUGAACACGGAGCUUGCUCUGUGGCAUCAGUGGCGAACGGGUGAGUAACACGUGAGCACCCUGCCCCUGACUCUGGGAUAAGCGCUGGAAACGGCGUCUAAUACUGGAUAUGUGACGUGACCGCAUGGUCUGCGUUUGGAAAGAUUUUUCGGUUGGGGUUGGGCUCGCGGCCUAUCAGCUUGUUGGUGAGGUAAUGGCUCACCAAGGCGUCGACGGGUAGCCGGCCUGAGAGGGUGACCGGCCACACUGGGACUGAGACACGGGCCAGACUCCUACGGGAGGCAGCAGUGGGGAAUAUUGCACAAUGGGCGGAAGCCUGAUGCAGCAACGCCGCGUGAGGGAUGACGGCCUUCGGGUUGUAAACCUCUUUUAGCAGGGAAGAAGCGAAAGUGACGGUACCUGCAGAAAAAGCGCCGGCUAACUACGUG